rnacentral:lncRNA from 1 species
CUCUUUGUAUAUUCAUCUAGUCUCAACAAGUCAUCAAAAGGAGCAGCUUUUCCAUCCUUAACGUCGAGCCCUUGUCGACACCUAUUGUGGUGCCAUUCAGGACCCGCAUUGGCGAACUGGAGAAGAAGGUGAGAGCAUAGAGAAAAAGGGCUUUGAGUCGGAAGACGGAGCUUAUCGAAGUCAGGGAGGCACUAAGGGAGGCUUCAGCAGAGGUCG